rnacentral:hammerhead_ribozyme from 1 species
GCACUGCUGGCGAGUUCCAAACAGGACGAAACAGCUGUCGGGUGC